rnacentral:rRNA from 1 species
GAUGAACGCUGGCGGCGUGCCUAAUACAUGCAAGUCGAGCGAACAGAUGAGGAGCUUGCUCCUCUGACGUUAGCGGCGGACGGGUGAGUAACACGUGGAUAACCUACCUAUAAGACUGGGAUAACUUCGGGAAACCGGAGCUAAUACCGGAUCAUAUAUUGAACCGCAUGGUUCAAUAGUGAAAGACGGUUUUGCUGUCACUUAUAGAUGGAUCCGCGCCGCAUUAGCUAGUUGGUAAGGUAACGGCUUACCAAGGCAACGAUGCGUAGCCGACCUGAGAGGGUGAUCGGCCACACUGGAACUGAGACACGGUCCAGACUCCUACGGGAGGCAGCAGUAGGGAAUCUUCCGCAAUGGGCGAAAGCCUGACGGAGCAACGCCGCGUGAGUGAUGAAGGUCUUCGGAUCGUAAAACUCUGUUAUUAGGGAAGAACAAAUGUGUAAGUAACUAUGCACGUCUUGACGGUACCUAAUCAGAAAGCAACGGCUAACUACGUG